GGCAGUGUGGUGUAGCGGUUAUGGCGUUGGGCUAGGACCCGAGAGACCAGGGUUCGAAUUCACCCACACCCCACUUGGCCA